UCUGUUUACAUGGCUUUUUCUACACUAGUUUCACCAUCUUAGCAAAAUAUCAAAUACAAUUGUCUUUCCUAGGUUUCAGCUGAGAGAUCGACCGGAAUAGCCAGUCAAUAUAACAAUGCUCACAAGGACACAGGGAUGAAGGUAUAAAGCUGAGUGCUGCAGGGAGAGCAUGUGUGAAGAGAGAAGCAAGGCUACAACAGCCCAAGGAAGCAUGCUCAAGGUCAGCCUCUCUCACAGAAGACUGGGAGGUCACGUUUGAUUUAGAAGAAAUCAUGAAGAUGAUUUUCCUGAGUGACAUAACUGCAGCCAUUAGCAAACUUAUCCAAGAGCAAUCAUCCAUUAAAGGCACUCAGCCCUGGGGUGUAUUUGCCACCCUUCAGCACCGGAUGAAGCAGGCAGUGACUCCACCAGCAUGAGUAUGCCGGAGGUCUUCUUCUCUACACGCAGUGCUGCUCCAGCAGAUUGCUAGGUGAGAAGUAAAUCAGACCGAUUUGAAACAUGGAGUACUUCUCACAUGCUCAUUGAAAAGAAUAAGACUUGCUGGACAGUCUCCACAAAACCUCAACACUCUUUUGGACUGGCAUUUCCUACCAAGUGUGCCAGCAAUGUCAGCAUGAGAAAAGACAACUAGGAGUAAGGGCUACAGCUGCUCCUUUAACACUGUUGGGACAGCCUCCAGAGUAAAUUUCCAGCUCCUACUGAAUCUGACUGGAUAUAUCUUCUAUGCCAAAUGCCCUUGCAAAGAACCAAAACCUUUUGGAGGAUGUUUGGAAUUUCAUCUGGGCUGUGUAGAAUCCAGCAAUAAAUUAUUCCAAUAUGAAGGUCUAAUACA
rnacentral:lncRNA from 1 species